UAAGGAAUAUUGGUCAAUGGGGGCAACCCUGAACCAGCCAUGCCGCGUGCAGGAAGACUGCCCUAUGGGUUGUAAACUGCUUUUAUCCGGGAAUAAACCUCAUUACGUGUAAUGAGCUGAACGUACCGGAAGAAUAAGGAUCGGCUAACUCCGUGCCAGCAGCCGCGGUAAUACGGAGGAUCCAAGCGUUAUCCGGAUUUAUUGGGUUUAAAGGGUGCGUAGGCGGCCAGUUAAGUCAGAGGUGAAAGACGGUAGCUCAACUAUCGCAGUGCCUUUGAUACUGAUUGGCUUGAAUGAACUAGAGGUAGGCGGAAUGAGACAAGUAGCGGUGAAAUGCAUAGAUAUGUCUCAGAACACCGAUUGCGAAGGCAGCUUACUAUGGUUCUAUUGACGCUGAGGCACGAAAGCGUGGGGAUCAAACA
rnacentral:rRNA from 1 species